GACGGAAGGUGCAAGCGUUGCUCGGAAUUACUGGGCGUAAAGGGCCUGUAGGUGGCCAACUAAGUCGAACGUGAAAUCCCUCAGCUUAACUGGGGAACUGCGUCCGAUACUGGAUGGCUCGAGUUUGGGAGAGGGAUGCGGAAUUCCAGGUGUAGCGGUGAAAUGCGUAGAUAUCUGGAGGAACACCGGUGGCGAAGGCGGCAUCCUGGACCAACACUGACACUGAGGAGCGAAAGCCAGGGGAGCAAACGGG
rnacentral:rRNA from 1 species